rnacentral:lncRNA from 1 species
AAGAACAUAAUUUUCCAAUACAUGAGUAGUGGAACUGUUCUGAAUUUGAUAUGACCAUUUGUUUGAAAUCAUAUAUUGGUAUGAUAAUUAAAAUGGUGUGUGAUGAGCAAAGGAUUUCUGGUUCAUAAAUUACUCCUUCCUCAAACCCAGGUACUAAUAGUUUAAGUUUAUUAAAAAUAAGGAUUUUCAGAUGACUACCAGAACCUUUCAUUGAAUUAUAGAACAAUAUGUUGCAUUAAUUAAAUGUUAUUUAAAAAAAAAAACAACAGUCAAACGAUACUUAAUGAUCAUUUCGAAAAUAAACUGACCAUGGAAAAAUAAAGCCAUUUUAAGAGAUGAAACAGUAUUGCCAAUAACGGUUCUGCCAAUACUGUUCCACAUAUGUUAUAAUCUCCAUGGAAAAAUUUGAUCACCAACA